AAUUACCCACUCCCGGCACGGGGAGGUAGUGACGAAAAAUAACGAUACGGGACUCAUCCGAGGCCCCGUAAUCGGAAUGAGUACACUCUAAACCCUUUAACGAGGAUCAAUUGGAGGGCAAGUCUGGUGCCAGCAGCCGCGGUAAUUCCAGCUCCAAUAGCGUAUAUAAAGUUGUUGCGGUUAAAAAGCUCGUAGUCGAAUCUGUGUCCCGCGCCGCCGGUUCAUCGCUCGCGGUGUUUAACUGGCGUGUCCGCGAGACGUCCUGCCGGUGGGCUUAGCUCGUUCGCGGGCGGCCCAACUUCAAAUCCCACCGCGGUGCUCUUGACUGAGUGUCGAGGUGGGCCGGCACGUUUACUUUGAACAAAUUAGAGUGCUUAAAGCAGGCUAAAACUUCGCCUGAAUACUGUGUGCAUGGAAUAAUGGAAUAGGACCUCGGUUCUAUUUUGUUGGUUUUCGGAACCCCGAGGUAAUGAUUAAUAGGAACGGAUGGGGGCAUUCGUAUUGCGACGUUAGAGGUGAAAUUCUUGGAUCGUCGCAAGACGGACAGAAGCGAAAGCAUUUGCCAAAAACGCUUUCAUUGAUCAAGAACGAAAGUUAGAGGUUCGAAGGCGAUCAGAUACCGCCCUAGUUCUAACCAUAAACGAUGCCAGCUAGCGAUCCGCCGACGUUCCUCCGAUGACUCGGCGGGCAGCUUCCGGGAAACCAAAGCUUUUGGGUUCCGGGGGAAGUAUGGUUGCAAAGCUGAAACUUAAAGGAAUUGACGGAAGGGCACCACCAGGAGUGGAGCCUGCGGCUUAAUUUGACUCAACACGGGAAACCUCACCAGGCCCGGACACCGGAAGGAUUGACAGAUUGAGAGCUCUUUCUUGAUUCGGUGGGUGGUGGUGCAUGGCCGUUCUUAGUUGGUGGAGCGAUUUGUCUGGUUAAUUCCGAUAACGAACGAGACUCUAGCCUGCUAACUAGGCGUAUUUUCGACAUCUCAAAGGCCCGCCGGCCCGUCGCUCUCGCGUCGCGGUCGCGCGCGGUUUUUACUGUCGGCGUACAAUCAAUUCUUCUUAGAGGGACAGGCGGCUUCUAGCCGCACGAGAUUGAGCAAUAACAGGUCUGUGAUGCCCUUAGAUGUUCUGGGCCGCACGCGCGCUACACUGAAGGAAUCAGCGUGUCCUCCCUGGCCGAGAGGCCCGGGUAACCCGCUGAACCUCCUUCGUGCUAGGGAUUGGGGCUUGCAAUUGUUCCCCAUGAACGAGGAAUUCCCAGUAAGCGCGAGUCAUAAGCUCGCGUUGAUUACGUCCCUGCCCUUUGUACACACCGCCCGUCGCUACUACCGAUUGAAUGAUUUAGUGAGGUCUUCGGACCGGUACGCGGUGGCGCUACCGCGUCGCCGAUGUUGCUGGGAAGAUGACCAAA
rnacentral:rRNA from 1 species